AAGGAGCGGGGAGGUUGUGGGAGUCAUGGAAGAAACCAAUAGAGUCAGAAAGAUACUACACCAGCUCAGGGACCUGGCUAGUGUGGAUGGGCAAAUCAAAGUGGCCACAGGCAGAAGUGGUUGCCUCCUGGUCAAGAAACUGUAGCUGGCAGGAAGCAGGAGGCUGAAAGGGGAGGGGAAAAAGAGUGGGGGUUACGAAAGCAUGUAUCGCUUGUUACUGGGUGUUUUGUCUUCUUUUGGGAACUUCGCGAAACUGCUUCCCCAUACUCCCUGUCUACCAAUCUGUGAUGUGGGUGGGGGUGAAUUCAAGUGGUACAGAUGCUGCAUUUCCCAGUGGGCUGAGCCGUAGUAGUCAGCCAGGGAGCUCCGAGAUAGAGCGGCAGGAAGAGGAUGGGGGUGGGAAAGGAUGUAUUGCUGGUUACUGGGUGUUCUGUCUUCUGCUGGGAGCUCUGUGAAGCUGCUUUCUUCUGCUUCCUGUCAGCUGAUCUCCAGCAGGAGUUCAAGAUGGCUAAUCUGUGCUGCAUUAACUGAUAAGUGUGUUUCAGGAAAGGCAGAAGAGAAAAUCACCAGAAAGAAUAUCCCAACAAACAUAACUCUGGAUCAUGGAAUACGUGGUUACUUCAAAACCUUUGUCUAGAAGAAAUGAAUCCCUGGGUAGCGCAAACGGUUAACUUGCUCGACUGCUAACCAAAAGGUUUGAGUCCACCCAGCGACACUGCAGAAGAAAGGCCUACCGAUCUAUUUUGCAAAAAAAUCAGCCAUUGAAAACCGUGUGGAUUACAGUUCUACUCUGACACACAUGGAGUCACCACGAGUCGGAGUAGCCAUACUCUUUAUGGCCUUUAAGGAACGGUUUAUUUUUGGGAAACAGAUAUUUCACUUUUAAUUUCAUUUUAAUUUGAUUUCAUUACUUUCAAUUUAAUUUACUUAUUUCAUCAGCAUAUUCAUGAAGAAACCACUAUGUGUUAGGAUUGUCAGGAUAAAGUAUGAGAUGUACUUUUAAGGUUUUAUCAGGUCUUCCUCAAAUUCCACAUCCAUUUGGUUUAUUAAUCCAAAGUUCUCAGCAAAUUUUCAUACCCAAGAUGAUCUGCUACAGGCACAAUCUAAACUCAGUCAUCUUUAAUACAAUUGGACAUUUCUUGUCAUGCCCUCCCCUACAAGAAGCAUAGCUAGUGGGAGGGAGGGUAGGAGAAGAGGUAGCAGGGAGGGGCAUAAACACACUGCAUUCAGGAGCACAUUCUUGAAAAGUAGCUUUCUAGUUAGACAUACUUUUAUGGAUUGAAUUGUGCCCCCAAAAAUAUCUGUCAACUUGGCUGGACCGUGAUUCCCAGUAUUGCCUGAUUGUCCCCCAUUUUGUCAUCUGAUGUGGUUUUCCUGUGUGUUGUAAAUCCUAUCUCUAUGAUAUUAUUGAGAUGAGAUUAGUGACAGUUAUGUUAAUGAGGCAGGACUCAAUCUACAAGAUUAGAUUGAGUCUAAAACCAAUCUCUUUCGAAAUAUUAAAGAGAGAAGUGAUGUAGGGUAAUGCUAUUCAGCUAUAUGCAUCCCCUCCGUAAUGGAAUCAGCUUUGCUGUUCCCCAAAGCACACUGGGGAUGAAUUUGGGAUAGACUCCAGCAAAGGUACAAGGUCGGGAGUGGUAUGACUGGGCCAGCAGCCAAGGCCAAGGAAUGUCUUAGCAACAAGAAGGAAAACAUCUGGGCCUGGACGUGAAGUCCCUGAGAACUCUGACUAUGCAAGGACGUGGGAGAAAAACAAUAAGCCUUGGACCCAAUGGUCUAUAAACUUGAGUCCUUGCUAGGUGGUUGCGGAAAAUACUCCAGCCAACUGCCACCGGAGAGCAGCUGCUUGCCCGUAUCAGUAAGUUUCCCUGAACUCAUGAAUCUGGAAAGGCCUACGUGUCAGUUCAUUGGAUUAUCUGCCAUGAUGCACAGUAAGGGUCUUUCCUUGCCGGGGAUGUCCCCCGACAAGCGAGCAGAGAGACAGGGGACCUCAUACCACCAAGAAAAAAGAGCCAGGAGAAUAGUUUGUCUUUUGGACCAGGGGUCCCUGCUCGGAGAAGCUCCUCGACUAGGGAAGAUUGAUGACGAGGACCUUCCCCCAGAGCCCACAGAGAAAGAAAGACUUCCUCUGGAGCUGGCACCCUGAAUUCGAACUUCUAGCUUCCUAGACUGUGAGAGAAUAAAUUUCUGUUUGUUAAAGCCACCUUCUUGUAGUAUCUCUGUUGUAGCAGCACUAGACAUCUAAGACACUUGCCAAGGAAAUGUUUUGACAUGAAGGCUGUUUUGCAGUGCUAAAACAUUUUACAAGAAGCAGUGGGAAACAUGUCAGGGUGCCAUCCCUUUUACAUUCUCACUUCAGCACACCCACCAUCCCAGGUCACAACUUCAGUUUUUUUUGCCAUGCUAUUAGGGACUGGCUUCAUUUUACUCAUCUCUACCUUGCUUUAAAUUGCUCCUUAAAUCAAAGCUUAACUUCUCUCUUUUUGGCCCUCAGAGAAAUUGUAGCUUUCAACAGCAACCACACACACAAACAAAACCAAAAACAAACAGAACAAAACAAAAACAAAACCCUUACUCGACUAGCUCACAGAAUGGGAACUAAAGAUGUAGGGUGGAAUUUUAGGUCGGUUGAUUCAUCUCCUCAAUUAUGUAAUUUAAACCUCAGGUUCUUUCCAUCUUUUUUCUCUGCCAUUCACAGUGUCCGUUCAUCGUGAAGCUGGUCUUAGAGCAAUUGCCAAUUGCAACUGCCACCGCGUGCUUUUUGUUCACAUCUUGUGAGAGGGAGACUUUACCUGUCUAUGACCCCUCUUAAGAGUGAAGAAACGUUUUUUAAGGUGCCCUCCAAAAAACUUUUACUUACUCUUCAUCACCAGAAGUGGUCAUGUUUGUGUUACUAAACAAUCCCUGUAUCAGAGGAAUCCAAUGUGUUCUUGGUUUUGGCUUGGUUACCUCUACCAACUCUAAGCAAGGAUAUUGGGAGCACCCAGACUGACUUAGACUAAUCAAGGCCCACCCCAGGGCUGGGGUCAAUCUCUGUACUCCAUGGGUCAGUUACCAUUCAAGUUAAUUUGACUUGUGGCAAUCACAUGUGUGUCAGCAGAACUGUGCUCCACAGUGUUUUCAAUGCUGAUUUUUCAGAAGUAAAUUGCCAGGCCUUUCUUUGGAGGUGCCUCUGGGGGUAUUUGAACUGCCAGCUUUUUGUUUAGCAGCUGUUUGCAUGACCCAGAGACUCCUAAUUGGUAGAAGUUGUUAAUUAAAGCUAUCCAGUUUUAAAUUUAUUUCUUUUUAGUAGACAAUAUCAUAAUAUUAUUUAUGAAAGAGUGUGUAAGGUGUGCAGUGGAAAGUGCCAAAGAAAGAAAACUAUAACAUGCUGAAGAAGUCCAAAGAAACACACUUCUGUCCUUCAAAAUUUCAUUGCCUGGUUCCAAGGUUUUCCGGUUUUGAAAAAUUUAAUUACAUUGAACUUUAGUGUAGUUUUCUUACGCUUGGGGCCUUACAUUUAUUAUGUACUUUAAUUCUCAUAAUGACCUAUAAUAUUUAGGCAGCAUCAUCCCUAUUUUAGAGGUGCAGAACUUGAGACUGAAGAAAGUUCAUCAACGAUCAUGCUCAUGUGAAGACUAUUAUCCUUGUACGCAGGGAUAAAUAACUUUUGCAGAGUAAUAAUCAGAGCAAUUUCAUUAGCUAGUAGUCUAUAUAAACACUGGAUAUCAUAAAGCAGUGAUAUUUAAAAAAUAUAUUUAAAAAGUGUAUUUAAAAAAAAUAGUGCAUUUAAAAAGUACAAUGCCAGAAAGGAGGCAUUCUUAAAGUUUCACCUACAAAAAAAGCAUUUGAGAAAAGUUAGUGAGGCAGAUACAGUUAACUGUGCUGUGGCUGAACAAAAGAGCUGUUAAAAGAUUACCACCUAGAAGUUGGGUAAACAGGAACCACACCCUGUCUUGAGACAGGCAGGGUUAGCUGUGCUGGUGGAACAAAAGAGCUGUUAAAAGAUUACCGUCUAGAAGUUGGGUAAACAGGAACCACACCCUGUCUUGAGACAGGGUUAACUGUGCUGGUGGAACAAAACCCAGAAAAGAUUACCAUCUAGAAGCUGGGAAAACAGGGACCCAACUUGUCAACAUGGGAUAAGAUUGAAAUAACCCAUGAAUUACUAUCUCCUUUUUUUUUUCUUAGUGUUUUUCUAGUCCCCUCCUUUACAGGCAUGUGCAAAAGAACAAAGUAGUGACUGCUGUUUAACCUUCCUUAGCCCUCCGAAGACGGCGAUGUAGUGCUGAAGAUCAAGUGAGCCUACACUAUAUCCCAUAAUAAGUGAUGCCAAGGGCUUCCAGCUGAGAAAACUCCAUUUUGAGUAUCAGCAAAUUCCAUCUUAGAUUCCAGAUGAGCCCCCCUCUGCAACCUAAUCAGCACACACAGCCAUUCUGAGAAGUAUCCGCCCCUCGAAAGAAGCCUAUUAAAUAUUCAUUACUCUAUUGUCUCCACCGAACCCAUAUAAGCCCUAAUCUUGCUUCCCUUUUCCAGUCAGUCUUUUGGAGAGGCUUAGAUCCUUGCUAACUCCUUUUGCUUGACUCAAGCAAAAUGAAGCUUGCUGAAGAUAGUCUUUUGCUUUUAUUCUUACCCGGGAAAAGACAAGGACCCUUUGUGUCAGACUAGCAUUUAGUAACAUUAGUACAAAAAAUAAUGGAAAGGGGGGGAACACUAGAAAAUUGAGAUCAGCUUGACGUAUUCUCUGGUAUAAUUCUCAGAUAAUAGGUUUGUAAGAUUUUAGAAAGGAAUGUAACUGAGAUAUAAACAAUUUUUUUUUGAUAAGUUUAUUUAAUAUAUAGAUUUGGGGGAUGAGAUAAGCUUACCAUGGGUUGACUUCAAUAAAGCAUUUGACAAAAUUCCCCUGAACUUUAUUUUGCUAUGGAUAUAGUGAGAAAAUGGAGAUUGGGUUAUGCAAGGUUACAGUAAACUUUUUUCUUUUUUUUAAACAAAGAACAUGGAAAAUGACUCUAUCAGCCUAUAGAGGUGCUUCUUUUGAACAUCAACAGAACUUGGUAGUGUCUUCAUCAACAUUUUAUUAGUAAUUUGAAUUAAGCCAUAAAAAGUUUAUAAGGGAGAGCUAUGUAAUUAACAACAGAAUCAAGAUUAAAAAUCUCAAUAUGAUGGAACAAUGGGAUAAAAAUCAACCAGGAAAGCUUAACAGGAUAUAUGUGAAGUCAUGUUUUUAGGUUAUAAUUAAUUACACAAAUACUGUAGAAGUCUAAAACAGAAAAUGUAACAAUACGACAGUACUAAAUUAAGCAUGCCUCCAUUUGGACCUCUUCCUACAAGCUGCUCCCUUCCUCACAUACACCCUAAUAUGAUGUGCUAUAUACAAGAGACACAUCUAAAAUAAAGGGACUCAGAAACGUUGGGAAUAAGAAAAGUAUAUAUAUUUUGCCUGGUAAAUAAAAUACUGUCUUAGUCAUCUAGUGCUGCUAUAACAGAAAUACCACAAGUGGAUGGCUUUAACAAAGAGAAAUUUAUUUCCUCACAGUAAAGUAGCGUAAAAGUCCAAAUUCAAGGCAUUAGUUCCAGGGGAAGGCUUUCUCUCUCUGUCGACUCUGGAGGAAGGUUCUUGUCCUCAAUCUUCCCACGGUCAAGGAGCUUCUAAGGCACAGGGACCCUGGGUCCAAAGGACACGCUUUGCUCUCCGUGCUGCUUUCUUGGUGGUAUGAGGUCUCCACUCUCUGCUUGCUUCCUUUUCAUCUCUUGAGAGAUAAAAGGUGGUGCAGGCCACACUCCAGGGAAACUCCCUUUACCUUGGCUCAGGGAGGUGACCUGAGUAAGGGUGGUGGUAAAAUCCCACCCUAAUCCUCUCAACAUAAAAUUACAAUCACAAAAUGGAGGACAACUACACAUGGCCUAACAAAGUUGGAACACUUUGGGGGGGACAUAAUUCAAUCCAUGACAAAUAUGGACAUUUUACAAUGGUAAAGGAUACAAUUCUCGAUAAAUAAAUAGCUCUUAUGAAUUUUUAGGCAUUAAAUAAAAAUAGUAUCUACAUUUAGAAUGCAAAAACCUCAGGGACAAAAGGAAAUACAGAGUUAUAGCGGCAAUACCCAUUGUUGUUGAGUGAGUCCGACUCACAGUGACCCUACAGAACCGAGGAGAACUUUCCAAGGCCGUAAUCUUUAUGGAAGUAGACUGCCACAUCUUUCUCCUGAUGGUUUUGAACCGCCAACCUUUUGGUAAGCAGCGAAACGCUUAACCACUAUGCCACUAGGACUCCAGUAGGAGACUUUACUCAGCUCUCUCAACCUACUGCUGAAGGAGACAAAAGUAAAGACAAAGAUUAUGAAAAUAGCAUAAUUAACAAGAUAAUCCCGAUAGAUAAACAUUGUUUUUGACUUACAGCAACCCCAUAUGACAGAGUAGAACUGCCAUAGGUUUCCUUGGCUGUAACCUUAACAGAUGAAGAUUACCAGGUCUUUCUCCCAGUGAUCUUCUGGGUGGGACUGAAACACCAGCUUUUUGGAUAGCAGCUAAGAACUUAACCUUUGUGCUACCACGGCUCCUUCAACAGAUAUAUAAAUUAGAAUUUGCAACUUUCCAUUAACCAUGGAACAUUUAUAAAACUGAUCAUAUAUUAGCUCACAAAAAAAACCUUGAUAAAUUUCAAAAAAUAUUUUUUGUUAGGUGCCAUUCAGUAGGUUCCUACUCAUAGUGACCCUAUGUAUCACUGUCCGGUUCUGUGCCAUCCUUACAAUCGUUGUUAUGCUUAAGCCCAUUGUUGCAGCCACUGUGUCAAUCUGUUACCAGAGAAUAGCCUCGGUUCUUAUCUUCAGUGUAGGAAAGAAUUCAAAUACUGAGACAUAUAGUGCCAAGUGAGCAGAGGUUUAUUAGCAAGCAGAGGGUUAGUAGCGAAACUACACUUGACUAGGGAGCGUCAAGUGGUCUACUCAGGUAGAGAAAGAAUCUGAGCGCUCGAUAGUUGUUUUCUUAGGGUUUUAUACCCUUCUUGUCUCUUAUCUCUCCCUGUUAAUGUUUAACAGUCAAGACAGGGACCCCUAUAAAGACUAUUUCCUUGGCUUACGGUUUAAUUACCAAGUUAGGGACCUUAUCAAGUUAGGGACUUUAUCAAGUUAAGGAACCAUAUAGGGAUUGUUUCCUUGGCUUAAAGUUUAACUAUGUAGGAGCCAUCUUAUUGAGGAAUGUCACCACCCCCUACCUCUUCCUUUUCCCGAGUGCAAGCUCUCCCCUUCCCCCUUACAAACCCAUCUCGUUGUAGGUCUUCCUCUUUUUUGCUGACCCUCUACUUUACCAAGCAUGAUAUCCUUCUCCAGCGACUGAUCCCUUGUGAUAAAAUGUCCAAAGUAUGUGAGACAUAGUCUCAUCACCCUUGCUUCUAAGGAGCAUACUUGAUGUACUUCUUCCAAGACAGAUAUGUUUGUUCUUUUGGCAGUCCUGGUAUAUUCGAUAUUCUCCUCCAACACAAUUCAAAGGCAUCAAUUCUUCAGUCUUCUUUAUUCAUCGUCCAGCUUAUUUUAUAUUAAGCUACCUAUGAGAUAUAUAAACUACACGACGUUUUACAGAUAAAGCAGAAGACUCAAAGAAACUGUAUUUAAUGGGAUGAUUUGGGGCAGAUUCCUUCCUCCCCAGUCCUUCAUUCUUCUUAGGGGAAGAAACAACAACUUCAAGAAACCUUUUGCAGUUAUGUCUCUCCACAGUUUCAUGAAAUCCACAGUGAGUGAAUCCCUGAUAAGAUGAAGUUAAUAAAGUGUGGCUUUUACCACCGACUCUGCACAGGAAAUUAAUGAACACUCAGUGCUCUAGGAAUCCCUGGGUGGUGCAAAUGGUUAAUACUCUUGGCUGCUAAAUGAAAGGUUGGAGGUUGGAGUCCAUCCUGAGGCACCUCAGAAGAAAGGCCUCAAAAUCUACUUCCACACACAUAGGGUUGCCAGGGCACCUGGGUUUUCUUUUGUUUUUUUUUGGCAAUUUCAGAUUCGAAGCAAUUUCCAUUAUGAUUGCAUUUAAGGCCCUGGGCCAGGUCUUUAGAGGAACAUUUUUGGGAAGGGAGCAUGUCCUUACUUCCCCAGGGGCAAAGGAAACUGCCUAUUCAGCUACACUGAGUUUCUCCUGGGUAAGGGAGGGCUGUGUCUUAUUUACUUUUAUAUCCCUAGUACAGGCUGAAGGAUUGGCACACAGUAGGUGCAAGGAUAAUGUAAGCUUCCACUUACCUUUUGGCAGCUAAGACAGGCUUAGGGACAUUGACUAUCCCCUUUUCUAUC